CCUACGGGUGGCAGCAGUGGGGAAUAUUGGGCAAUGGGCGCAAGCCUGACCCAGCAACGCCGCGUGAAGGAAGAAGGCUUUCGGGUUGUAAACUUCUUUUCUCAGGGACGAAGAAAGUGACGGUACCUGAGGAAUAAGCCACGGCUAACUACGUGCCAGCAGCCGCGGUAAUACGUAGGUGGCAAGCGUUAUCCGGAUUUACUGGGUGUAAAGGGCGUGUAGGCGGGAAAGCAAGUCAGAUGUGAAAACCAUGGGCUCAACCUGUGGCCUGCAUUUGAAACUGUUUUUCUUGAGUACUGGAGAGGCAGACGGAAUUCCUCGUGUAGCGGUGAAAUGCGUAGAGAUGAGGAGGAACACCAGUGGCGAAGGCGGUCUGCUGGACAGCAACUGACGCUGAGGCGCGAAAGCGUGGGGAGCAAACAGGAUUAGAUACCCCGGUAGUC
rnacentral:rRNA from 1 species